rnacentral:rRNA from 1 species
UUUCCGGUUGAUCCUGCCGGAGGCUACCCUAUUGGAGUUCGAUUAAGCCAUGCGAGUCGUGAGUCUUAGGGACUCGGCGUACCGCUCAGUAACACGUGGGUAACCUGCCCUAUGCUGGGGAAUAACCUCGGGAAACUGAGAACAAUGCCCCAUAGUUCACCACGCCUGGAACGGUGGGUGGAUCAAAGCCCCGGCGGCAUAGGAUGGGCCUGCGGCGUAUCAGGUUGUAGGGGGUGUAAAGUACCCUCUAGCCAUCUACGCGUACGGGUGUUGGGAGACAUAGCCCGGAGAUGGAUUCUGAGACACGAAUCCAGACCCUACGGGGUGCAGCAGGCGCGAAAACUUGGCAAUGCGAGCAAUCGUGACCAGGGAACUCCAAGUGCAUCGGGUAAGACCGAUGCUUUUCUUGACUCUUCAAAGGUCUAGGAAUAAGGGGUGGGUAAGGACGGUGCCAGCCGCCG